rnacentral:rRNA from 1 species
UACGUAGGGUGCGAGCGUUAUCCGGAUUCACUGGGUUUAAAGGGUGCGUAGGUGGGCUGUUAAGUCAGUGGUGAAAUCUCCGGGCUCAACCCGGAAACUGCCAUUGAUACUAUCAGUCUUGAAUAUCAUUGAGGUAAGCGGAAUAUGUCAUGUAGCGGUGAAAUGCUUAGAUAUGACAUAGAACACCAAUUGCGAAGGCAGCUUGCUAACCGAAUAUUGACACUGAGGCACGAAAGCGUGGGGAUCAAACAGG